CCAACUGCAUCUAACUACAGCACUUUCCUCCGCCUACACAUGUACGCAGAUGGAACUUUUGUGUCAGAAAAGGAUGCCAACCUUGAUGUAAAUGUUUAAGUUUGAACAAAUAUUAGUAAUACAUAGUAAAAUGUAUUUAUUUUAUAAUAAUUGUGUAUUGUUAUGUAUGAAUUAGGCGGAGAUUCAUCGUGUUGCUGCUGAGACAGGACGAGAGGACCGACUCGAUGAGGUCUACUUGGAGCUCGUACGUCCCGGUAGGUCACGACUGUACGGCACUGGAAGUGCCGGUGUGAGCCAGUUCAGUAGGGGAUCUACCAACAGUACAUGCUCUUCCCAGAUGUCUCAGCGGAUGUAUGAGACUCGGAUCUCCACACUGGAGGAGCGUCUCCAAAAGGCUGAGGAGGAUAGGGCG
rnacentral:lncRNA from 1 species